rnacentral:rRNA from 1 species
UUGAACGCUGGCGGCAGGCCUAACACAUGCAAGUCGAGCGGAUGAAGGGAGCUUGCUCCUGGCUUCAGCGGCGGACGGGUGAGUAAUGCCUAGGAAUCUGCCUGGUAGUGGGGGAUAACGUCCGGAAACGGGCGCUAAUACCGCAUACGUCCUGAGGGAGAAAGUGGGGGAUCUUCGGACCUCACGCUAUCAGAUGAGCCUAGGUCGGAUUAGCUAGUUGGUGGGGUAAAGGCCUACCAAGGCGACGAUCCGUAACUGGUCUGAGAGGAUGAUCAGUCACACUGGAACUGAGACACGGUCCAGACUCCUACGGGAGGCAGCAGUGGGGAAUAUUGGACAAUGGGCGAAAGCCUGAUCCAGCCAUGCCGCGUGUGUGAAGAAGGUCUUCGGUUUGUAAAGCACUUUAAGUUGGGAGGAAGGGCAGUAAGUUAAUACCUUGCUGUUUUGACGUUACCAACAGAAUAAGCACCGGCUAACUUCGU